UGGGGAAUAUUGCACAAUGGGGGAAACCCUGAUGCAGCGACGCCGCGUGAACGAAGAAGGUAUUCGUAUCGUAAAGUUCUGUCCUAUGGGAAGAUAAUGACAGUACCAUAGAAGAAAGCUCCGGCUAAAUACGUGCCAGCAGCCGCGGUAAUACGUAUGGAGCGAGCGUUGUCCGGAAUUAUUGGGCGUAAAGGGUACGCAGGCGGUUUAAUAAGUCGAAUGUUAAAGAUCGGGGCUCAACCCCGUAAAGCAUUGGAAACUGAUAAACUUGAGUAGUGGAGAGGAAAGUGGAAUUCCUAGUGUAGUGGUGAAAUACGUAGAUAUUAGAAGGAAUACCAGUAGCGAAGGCGACUUUCUGGACACAAACUGACGCUGAGGUACGAAAGCGUGGGGAGCAAACAGG
rnacentral:rRNA from 2 species